GGAGGUGUAUCGAAGAGGUCAUAACGGCCCCGACUCGAAAUCGGGUAAGCCCUUAAUCGGGCCCGAGAGUUCGAAUCUCUCCGCCUCCGCCA
rnacentral:tRNA from 1 species